AUUGAACGCUGGCGGCAUGAUUUACACAUGCAAGUCGAACGGUAACAGGCCGCAAGGUGCUGACGAGUGGCGAACGGGUGAGUAAUGCAUCGGAACGUGCCCAGUCGUGGGGGAUAACUACUCGAAAGAGUAGCUAAUACCGCAUACGAUCUAUGGAUGAAAGCGGGGGACCGUAAGGGCUCGCGCGAUUGGAGCGGCCGAUGUCAGAUUAGGUAGUUGGUGGGGGAAAGGCUCACCAAGCCAACGAUCUGUAGCUGGUCUGAGAGGACGACCAGCCACACUGGGACUGAGACACGGCCCAGACUCCUACGGGAGGCAGCAGUGGGGAAUUUUGGACAAUGGGCGCAAGCCUGAUCCAGCAAUGCCGCGUGCAGGAAGAAGGCCUUCGGGUUGUAAACUGCUUUUGUACGGAACGAAACGGCUCUGGUUAAUACCCGGGGCUAAUGACGGUACCGUAAGAAUAAGCACCGGCUAACUACGUG
rnacentral:rRNA from 1 species